rnacentral:snRNA from 1 species
GAAUGUGAGGAUGACCUGGCUGCAACCCCAAUGAUUGCCAGGGUUGAUUUGGCUGUUCUGGCUGGCUAGGUGAGUGUCCCAUCCUCCCUCAUUGCUCCAUGUACAAACCUCUGGAAGCUGAGUGCUGGCUCUGUCAAAGAGGAAGACCUUCCCUAAUAGAGGAGGGCCAUUCUUCAGUUAAGGGUACAGGAAUAGCUGUGCUCCCCUGCUAGAACCUCCAAACAAGCUCUCAAGAUCUAUUUGUAAGAGAAUGUAGGGUAGUCAAACUUCAGAGACUCUAGUCACAUUCAAAUGAGGCACUGCAUGUGGCAGUUUGCCUUUUUUU